rnacentral:tRNA from 1 species
AAGGAGAAAUCAAGUUGUAAAAAAAGCUUCUAACUUAUUUUUAAAGCGGUUUAACUCCGUUUAUUUCUUUA